UGUGAGGGUGCAAUAUGGGAACUUGAAGAAAAGAACAAAGGUUACUUACAAAACAUUAAAUCCUCAGUGGAAUCAGACCUUAGAUUUCCCUGAUGAUGGCAGCCCCUUAGAGUUGCAUGUGAAAGACCACAAUGCUCUGCUGCCUACAUCAAGCAUAGGCAACUGUGUGGUUGAAUAUCAGAGAUUGCCAACAAAUCAGAUGUCUGACAAGUGGAUACCGCUCCAAGGAGUGAAAAGGGGAGAGAUCCAUAUUCAGAUUACUAGGAAAGUUCCAGAAGUACAGAAGAGACC
rnacentral:misc_RNA from 1 species